rnacentral:snRNA from 1 species
AUAUUUUUCGAAAGAAAAAAAAAAUCUGUUCUUAUCAGUUUAAUAUCUGAUACGUCCCCUACCCGGGGACCAUAUAUUAAAUUGAUUUUUGGAGCAGGGAGAUGGAAUAGGGGCUUGCUCCGUCCACUCCACGCAUCGACCUGGUAUUGCAGUACCUCCAGGACCAGUGCACCCCCU